CUUCAGAGCUACUGCAAUGGACUCUUUAGGGCUGGGACCCAAGAAACUGAAGCUUUAACGUGCACCCACGUGAUUCUAAAUGCAGCCACGAGCCCAUGAGCUCCCACGUGGGCCUGCUGGCGGAUCCCAGCUGCACCUUAUUGAGAUGGGAGGAAGACUCAAAACCCUGGCGGUGUUGGUCAGCACUGCUUCCAAGAUGCGCGUCUUCUGCUCCAGACCAUCAAAGACUCACCGCGAGCCAGCAGACAUCUACUUCAGUCCCGUGGACGCAUCGGCGAGCCCGGACCCGGAGCACGCACCGUCCCACGCACGUGCUGGGUGCCGAGUCGUAAAGGGCCGUCACCUGUGACUAACGAGUCAGGUUCACGGAACUAUUGGGACCUUUCGCACCGGUGUCCAGUCAUGUCCUGGAAUUGGCCUGAGUUCCACAUGUGCGCGUGGAAUGAACUUGGACCCCACCCACUCUGCUCCAGCCAACCCCCCAAGUUUGUUUCCACCUCGGAGGCCUUUCCUGCUAUUCCCCAUGUCUGCAACAUUCCUCCCCCUCCCCUCUGAGUGGCUAGGUCCCUCUUAGCGUCCAGGCCUCAAGUCAGCAUCUCCCCUCAGAGAGUCCUUUCCUGACGCCCUCUCCGACGCAGCCCACCACCCCGAGUGUUCACUGUCCCACCAGCCUCCCUUGUGUCCCUCUUAUCACUACCUGACAUUUUCUUAGGUCGAUUUGCUUACUGUCACCCACCGCAAGUGUGAACUCCGCAGAAGCAGGGCCCUUGUCCGUCUCAUUCACGGCCGUGUCCCCAGGUGCCCGGCACGUGGCCGGCAGCCAGGAGGAGACGUCUGUUGAAGGAAUGUUGAAAGGCAUAUUCGGAUGUAUAUGUUUGAUGGGCUGGGCGCCCCCUAAGAGCUGGACUGGAGGGAGAUACCUGGGGGGAAUCCCCUGAGGACUCUGGUGGAGAGGGCGGGGCCAGGAGCCUGGGCUGGGAUGUCCCAGGUCAAGUGUAAGGCUGUGCUGUGCAGUUCCCUCCACAUCCCUGCCCAGAGGUGCACAGUAACCAGGGUGCGCAGCUUCCACGAAGCUCCCGGGAACAAAGACACUGGAUACCAGACGUCUGUACCUUCACGCUCGGUCCGGCUACAACUCAGGACACUCAGGGGAGCGUUCAGGUUCGAUAAGUAACUCCUAGGGAAUGCGGUUUAAGGGAGCCAGAAAAACUGUUUGGUUCUCUGCUCCCUUCGCUUCCCCACUUAAAGCCGCCAAAGAGGAAGGACAGAAAAGGCUCCAGAAGAGCAGAGAGAAGUGAGGUGCAGCCCUGCCCUGUCUCGACCCAACCCUGAGGCCUAGUCCUGCGUCGGGGAGGCUCUGGGGAAAGGCAGGAAAGCAGAAUGGCCUUUCUGUGAGGUCUGGGGAGCUGACGCAGGCCAGGAUGGAAUUCUCCCCUCUGCCCCAUCUCAGGGUUUUCUGGGCUGCAGCCCCACAGAUGUGCCCAGCCGAACCCACACUGUAAUUCUCAUUUCGAGGCGAAAAGUUGAAGACUCAAAGUUUAAUGGAUGCUUGGGCGCCCCAAAAAUUGCCAUCCCCACCCGACCUCCUCCCUGCAUUAGAACCCUCACUUCAGGUAUCAGGUGGGCGGAGCUCAGGGGGACUGAGCUCCUCCUCCGGCCCAGGUAAGAGAAUCCGGGUCAGGCCGUGGCCUCAGUGUCGGCUGCUCUCAGAGCCAUCUCAGUCCGGCUGAGUCGGCC